rnacentral:rRNA from 1 species
CCUACGGGAGGCAGCAGUGAGGAAUAUUGGACAAUGGGCGCAAGCCUGAUCCAGCCAUGCCGCGUGCAGGAAGAAGCAUCUAUGGUGUGUAAACUGCUUUUGUACAGGAAGAAACACUCCCUCGUGAGGGAGCUUGACGGUACUGUAAGAAUAAGGACCGGCUAACUCCGUGCCAGCAGCCGCGGUAAUACGGAGGGUCCGAGCGUUAUCCGGAAUCAUUGGGUUUAAAGGGUCCGUAGGCGGUUUAAUAAGUCAGUGGUGAAAUCUGGUCGCUCAACGAUCAAACGGCCAUUGAUACUGUUAGACUUGAAUUAUAAGGAAGUAACUAGAAUAUGUAGUGUAGCGGUGAAAUGCUUAGAUAUUACAUGGAAUACCAAUUGCGAAGGCAGGUUACUACUUAUGGAUUGACGCUGAUGGACGAAAGCGUGGGGAGCGAACAGGAUUAGAUACCCUGGUAGUCCACGCCGUAAACGAUGGAUACUAGCUGUUCGGAGCAAUCUGAGUGGCUAAGCGAAAGUGAUAAGUAUCCCACCUGGGGAGUCGUUGCAAGAAUGAAACUUCAAAGGAAUUGAGGCUUGGAGAGNGCGAGCGACGACGAGGGAGGAGG